AAGACUACUCAGGAUGGGGGAUGACCAUGCCAGGAAAACCAACCAUGUGAUUAGAGAGCUGGGGCUUUGAGCCAUGUGGUAUCAACUCAACCUCUGGGAAGAGGAAGAGAACAAGAGAUUAAGAACCAUGGGCAAUCAUUCAAUUGAUCACGGUAAGGUGAAAAGGAGCCAGCAGCAUGCAGAACUCACAUGGCAAGAACAGAAACAAGAGAAAGGGGAAACAGCCAGUUCUCAUGAGAAUGAACAGAGCAAAGCAUCCUGACUCCAGGAAGAGAGGGCGAAAGAAGCGUCACCUUCAGCAUCC
rnacentral:lncRNA from 1 species